ACCACACUCCUCUGUCCGUGGGAUUUUCCAGGGAAGAAUACUGGAGUGGGUUGCCAUUUCCUUCUCCAUCAUGAGGCAAAUUAACAUAAAAACCUCAAUAAGAUAACUACUGCAUUAAAAUGACUAAAUUUAAAUGACAGCACCAAAUGUUGGAGAGGAUAUGAAGCAGCAUUGCCAGUGAGAGUGUAAAAUGAAACAGCCACUUUGGGAAAACACGUGUACGUUUUAAGAAACUUAAAAGUUAAAUGCACCUAUUCUUUGAUGCAGCCAUUCUACUCCUGGUAUUUACGUGAGAAGUAAAAGCAUAAAGACCUGUAUUAGAAUAUUUAUAGAAUUUUUAUUCAUUGUUGCCAAAAGCUGAAGACUGGGUUAGUUGUCCAACAGCAAGAGAAGAGAUAAAAAUGGUAGUGUAGUCAAACAGUGGAAUAAUACUCAGCAAAAGAAGGAAGUUACUGAUAAAACAAUAUGAAUCAAUCUCAAAAACACUACUGGGUGAAAGAAACCAGGUACAAAAAAAAGAGUGCAUAGUGUAAGAUUCCCUCUAUGUGAAGUUCUAGAACAGGUAAAACUAACCUACAGUGAGAAAGUUCAGAACAAGAGCUGCUUUGUGGGAUAGGAGAGAAGUGGAAACUGACUGGGAAGGGAAAUGAGGGGAAUUUCUAAGCUGACAGUGAUGUCAUAAUAGGGGUUACACAGGUAUAUUCAUUUGUCAAAACUCAGGGAAUGUCCCACUUAAGCUGUGUGGUUUUUGAAACUCUCACAUACACACUAACUAAGCUAUAUGUUGAACUCUAGUUAAUGAUGUGCAUACUAAUAGAUAUGAAGUGUAUUAAUGUCUUUGACUGACAGUGAAGUGCAUCAAGUAAUAAAUAAGAUGAACAGAAAGAGGGAUUGUUAAAUGGGUCUGCUAAGUAGCAUGGAGUGGUGGCUAACAGCAUGAACUUUAAACCAGACUUUCAAGGUUUGCACCUGGGCUCUACUACCUUUUAACUGUGAGACUUGGGUGAAUCUGGACCUGGAUGCAUAGUAUCUCCACGGUAUCCCUGUAUAUAUGUGUGCAUAUAUAUUUGCAUGUAUGUACAUGUAUGUAUAUAUAUCAUCGGGAACAAACUUUAAAAGA